rnacentral:misc_RNA from 1 species
CUCCAGCCACUGUUGAACGGACCACAUAGCGAAUGAUUAUGAUUAUGCAUGACGAACAACGGAAGCGAUGCGAGCAGGAGGAGAUAAAGGAGCUGCGCAAGAUGACGGCAUUCAAGGCUCGUCCGAAUCCAUUUAAAUAGUGCUCGACGGAACCAAUCGACUACCAAACGUUUGAUAGCCCUGUCCAAAUUUGAAUGAUGUGAAGUCGAUGCUACACAUAAUCGUGUUUAUACCGAUGCAUAGUUUUACCAGAUUAACACAAUUUUUGUCUCUUAACAUUAACAUUACUUUUACGCAUAUAUCGUUCCCGUUUUUGGCGGAUAAGAACCACUAAAAUCGUAUGUUUGGCGGGAGGUUGAACUAUAUGGAUAUGUAUACAACAUAAGCAAUUUGCAAUUGCGAUCAUUAACUGUUUUCUAUUUGUACAAAGCCCAAAAAACAAUAAAUUAAUACUGUAAAUUGAA